rnacentral:lncRNA from 1 species
AAAGUAAAUUAGGGUUAUGAUGGAAUCCAUUUUAAUUUUUAUAAUAGAUCCGUCCCAAAUCUGUCUAAACAUUUCACACGGAUUUCGGACGGAACUCGUUAAAAACAUUAACAAUGCACAAAAUUAUGGAUCCGUCUCAAAGCCGUCCCAAUAUUUCACACGAAUUUGGGACGGAAAUCGUGAAAAAAAUAUAAAAUAUUCAAAAAUAUGCAUUUCGUCUGAAAUCCGUCUCAACCUUUCAAACAAAUUUGAAAUUUGUCCAAAAUCUGUCUGAAAGUGUAAUUUUGCUUCAGACAAAAUUCAUUCCGUCCCAAAAAUCCGUCCCAAAUGAUCAAUUUUCUAGUAGUG